GCUUGUCUCAAAGAUUAAGCCAUGCAUGUCUAAGUAUAGUACCUUAUACUGCGAAACUGCGAAUGGCUCAUUAAAUCAGUUAUAAUUCAUUUGAUGGUACUUACUACUCGGAUAACCGUAGUAAUUCUAGAGCUAAUACAUGCGAAAAGUCCUGACUUCUUCGUGAGGGAGGGAUGUAUUUAUUAGAUACAAUCAAACGCACCAACAUAAAACCUUGGUGAUUCAUAAUAACUGUUCGGAUCGUAUGGCUUUUUGCCGACGACAGAUCAUUCAAAUUUCUGCCCUAUCAGCUUUCGACGGUACUGUAGUGGACUACCGUGGCAUUAACGGGUGACGGAGAAUUAGGGUUCGAUUCCGGAGAGGGAGCCUGAGAAAUGGCUACCACAUCCAAGGAAGGCAGCAGG
rnacentral:rRNA from 1 species